GGACAACCUGCCCUGAGGACUGGAAUAAUCCCGGGAAACUGGGGGUAAUUCCAGAUAUGUCAGAACUCCUGGAAUGGGUUCUGGCAGAAAGGCUCCGGCGCCUCAGGAUGGGUCUGCGGCCUAUCAGGGUAGUAGUGGGUGUAACGUACCUACUAGCCUACGACGGGUACGGGUUGUGAGAGCAAGAGCCCGGAGAUGGAUUCUGAGACAUGAAUCCAGGCCCUACGGGGUGCAGCAGGCGCGAAAACUUUACAAUGCGGGCAACCGCGAUAAGGGGACCUCGAGUGCUGGGUUACAAACCUGGCUGUUGGGCUGCCUAAAAAGCAGUCUAUGGCAAGGGCCGGGCAAGACCGGUGCCAGCCGCCGCGGUAACACCGGCGGCUCGAGUGGUAACCGCUAUUAUUGGGUCUAAAGGGUCUGUAGCCGGCCGACUAAGUCUCUUGGGAAAUCUGGCAUCUCAAGUGUCAGGCUGCCAGGGGAUACUGGUCGGCUUGGGACCGGGAGAGGUGAGAGGUACCUCGGGGGUAGGGGUGAAAUCUUGUAAUCCUCGAGGGACCACCAGUGGCGAAGGCGUCUCACCAGAACGGAUCCGACGGCAAGGGACGAAAGCUAGGGGCACGAACCGGAUUAGAUACCCGGGUAGUCCUAGCCGUAAACGAUACUCGCUAGGUGUCGGCCACGGUGCGACCGUGGUCGGUGCCGUAGGGAAGCCGUGAAGCGAGCCACCUGGGAAGUACGGCCGCAAGGCUGAAACU
rnacentral:rRNA from 1 species